rnacentral:lncRNA from 12 species
AUGGUGAAAGUUGAGGCCAGUGUUACAGGACAUCAGAAUCCUGGGAUCCCUGAGGAGGACAACCUUGCCCACGGAGACCCACAUUCCUCAAGACCAGGGCCUGGGUCAUUUACUUUUGUAUCACUGUCGUACCUGGUAGACCAUGCGCCAGCCGCUGGCGUGGAUGGAUGGAUGGAUGGAUCCACUCAAAGAUGGAUAAGAAAAGUAGCACGGAAACAGAUUUUAGAAGACUCAAGCAAAGCAAGGGAAAAAACUUGGCACUUUGUCAUUAGUUGCAAGGAGAUCACAGAGAGACGAAAUUACUGAGAAUGCAGAGUCUAGAAGCUUCCAAAUGUGAGGUGGCCUAGUCCAGCUCCCUGAGCGUCAUCCCCCUCAGGGAUGCAGAGUUGCUCCAUGUUGCCCUCUGCCUUCUCAUGGCAGGGCCCAUGCUCUACCCCGCCUCCCUCCCACCAUAGUUACUGCCCAAACCCAGAUAGGCUUCCGCUGUGGCUGGAUAGAGAUCUUUAUGGAGGUAAACCUGUGCUUGUGGAUGAAAUGACAGCUGGAAACACCUGGAACUUUUUCCUGAACGCGGUACCUCUCCCUGGCUAACUUUAGUCACGAUCUAUCAGCUUUCUGUCUCCCUGACCCUUGCUCUUGGGAAGGGAGAGAAGAAGCAGGACACUAAUGACUGUUUCUGAUGUUGAGGGAUGAUUAGGAUUAUUAUUGUUUAGUCCUUGGGGAAGCCAGACAACCAUCAGCCUGACUCUAAACACAUGCAUCUCAAGACACUUGCUGUCCUCAGGGCUCAUGGAAGCUCUACUCCUCCCCCCUCUAUCCUUAGUCCGCAUCUGCCAAUCCUGCUGUAACCACUGUAGAUAGGACUUGGGGGAAGGAGGGUGCCUGGCUCCUUGGUGUGUUCCCUCCAGGACUCAUUUUUAUGCCUGGAGCAGAAUUUACAAUCCCCUCCCACUACAGAUUUUACUCCUGUCCUAGCCUCCUCCAUGGGGUGUGGAGGCCAAAAGUCCUCUGAAACCAACUAGGAAGUGACGGUGGCAGGACUUAGCAUACACUAUGUGAUGAAAGACCUCCAGAGCUCCAUUCUUUGAAUGACACACAAAACUCACUUCAACCAAGCCUAACUCCCAGGUGCAACCCACUUGGAAAAGACCAGUAUUCCAGUUUGCUG